GCCUGCGGUUUUAAUUGGACUCAACGCCGGGCAGCUCACCGGAUAAGACAGCUGGAUGAUAGCCGGGCUGAAGACUCUGCUUGACUAGCUGAGAGGAGGUGCAUGGCCGUCGUCAGUUCGUACUGUGAAGCAUCCUGUUAAGUCAGGCAACGAGCGAGACCCACGCCAACAGUUGCCAGCAUGUCCUCCGGGAUGAUGGGGACACUGUUGGGACCGCCUCUGCUAAAGAGGAGGAAGGAAUGGGCAACGGUAGGUCAGCAUGCCCCGAAUUAUCCGGGCUACACGCGGGCUACAAUGGUCAGGACAAUGGGUAUCGACACCGAGAGGUGGAGGCAAUCUCCUAAACCUGUCCUUAGUUCGGAUUGUGGGCUGCAACUCGCCCACAUGAAGCUGGAAUCUGUAGUAAUCGUGUCUCAAAAUGGCACGGUGAAUAUGUCCCUGCUCCUU
rnacentral:rRNA from 1 species